ACACAAUGUACCACUGUCGUGUAUCCGCGCCGGUAGUGACAUGUUUGGAUAACGUGAAAAUGGCGUAUCCAUUGCAAAAACAAUGAGUGUUGUGUUCUUUUAUCUAUCGACAAUGAGAAAAAAAUGAAACAGCUUGCCUUUUAUCGGUGUGCAACUGUGGGUCUGCUAAGUCAUAUUUACUCUGUUGUUAAAAAUAGUUGGUCCAAAAAUCCAAGUGAUGACGAGACCUGAGUAAACGUCGCCAUUUUAAUUUUUUAAUCAUAAUUUCCACCAGAAAAUCAAAACGAUAAAUAUGUAUCUAUGUAUAUUACUGAUCAAGAAGUUUUGUUGAUUUUUUUCAAUGAACAAACUAAAAUAAUAAAAUUGAUUACACAAUAUACCGGUAUUUUACAUUCCGCUGAUUUCAUUUCCAAUGUAUAUUGCUAAUCUGUUCAUAAUUUUGUACAUG